GACGAACGCUGGCGGCGUGCUUAACACAUGCAAGUCGAACGGUGAAGCGCCUUCCUUUUUGGUGGGUGUGGAUGAGUGGCGAACGGGUGAGUAACACGUGAGUAACCUGCCCCCUUCUUCUGGAUAACCGCAUGAAAGUGUGGCUAAUACGGGAUAUUCUGGGUCUGUCGCAUGAUGGGUCUGGGAAAGAUAUUGUUUCGGUGGGGGAUGGGCUCGCGGCCUAUCAGCUUGUUGGUGGGGUGAUGGCCUACCAAGGCGGUGACGGGUAGCCGGCCUGAGAGGGUGGACGGUCACACUGGGACUGAGACACGGCCCAGACUCCUACGGGAGGCAGCAGUGGGGAAUAUUGCACAAUGGGCGCAAGCCUGAUGCAGCGACGCCGCGUGAGGGAUGGAGGCCUUCGGGUGGUGAACCUCUUUCGCCAGUGAAGCAGGCCUGCCUCGUUUGUGGGUGGGUUGACGGUAGCUGGAUAAGAAGCGCCGGCUAACUACGUG
rnacentral:rRNA from 1 species